CGGUACUGUUUCCUCAGAAAGGGCCCGAGUCUCUUGUGAAUAUGGUUCAAAUCCUCCCCUUUGGCCUGGCUCUGGCACUCUCCAAUGCUGGUCACCUUGUGCAUCCUUGUUGGCUCUCUCCAGUGUCCAUUCAUACUCUUGCUUCUGCUCCCUUCCUCCUCCUGCCUCUUCAUGUGCUCACAGGGCGCACUCACACCUUUUAGUCACCCUCACACAGCUGCCAAGAAAGGAAUUAUUUUUUAAAAGGGUUUUCUCUAUAUUGAUUUUGUUGAGUUUUACUCCCAAAUCAUCCAAGGUCAUAAUGGUUUGUUUUAAGGAGUACGUUUUCCCAUUAUUUGUCAAGCUUGAGUCUAUAGUCAUGAAACUAAACUUACAUUAAAAGAAACAAAACCAACUAGGACCAGUAGUGUAUGUCUAUGGGUCUAUAUCUUGGGGAGCUGAGGCAGAAGAAUCCUUUGGGUCUAGGAAUUCCAGGCCAUUCUAGGAAACAUAUCAGACCCCCCCCCCCCCAGAACCUAACAUUUUAUUCAGAUACAAUACUUGAAGGUAUUAAAUAGAAAAGACAAUACAGUUGCUGGCACCUUGAAACAAAGUUGGUGUACUUGGGCGGGAUAGUCUCUCCGUGCAUUGCAACUAUGUCGACUUAGUUCUUCUUCUUCCCUUUCCCCUUAGCCUGGAGGAUGAAAAGGAGGAUGGUAAAGUUA
rnacentral:lncRNA from 1 species